rnacentral:lncRNA from 1 species
GAAAAAUGUUCAAUAAUACCGGGUGAAAAAUUUACAUUUUUAAGCUUUAUAAUCGUAGUUAGUAGUUCCAAUUUGAUGGGUGUUAAACCUACCACUUCUAUAACCGAGGACCUAACCUAAUGUGUAAGACCAAUUUUACUAACAAAAAAAUUUUCAAGAAAAUAACACAUCUUAGUAAAAUGAAUUACUUUUCUUCGGUACACUAUCAGAAUUUGAAUUAAGACGUAUAGUAUACGGAGUCGUGAAAUAUAAAAUAACGAGCCUCUUAUAUCGAUCAAUGAUGGUGAUAGGAAAUAACUUAUGAAAAAUGUUAAAUACCCCUUAUAUGGUUAAAACGGCGAUUAAAUGUUAGUACAUAAUAUAUUUAUAUAUAUAUAUAUAUACGAUAGUUUUAGAUUCUGCGCGGUAUAAGGACCUAUUGAUUUUGCAAUAAUGUGCGAUUAUCUACCCUUUCCCUCUUUCCUGUUCCUUGUCCACAGUAAAACGCUUUACAAACAGUAAAACGUAAGCACCAAAUUUGUCAUACGGUUUUCUCCGUAAAAUAUAUAGGGAAUCGUAUACAGACUACAGUGCAGGUUACCUACCUACUACAGAGAGUUUUUUUUUCAAUUUCCCUUAAAGUAAUUUAAAAAAAAAAAAAAUACCUAUAUAAAAAUAAAAACUGUAUAAAACCAAACAAAUAACAAUAUAUAUUACGUUUUUUUUUCGUUUGUAGCACACCAGUUCUUUAAUCAAAAUAUAUAUUAACUGUUUUUUUUAGAUAUAAACCGAUCUUCAGUCCAAAUCUGAAUAAUAAUUCUGAAAUAAAAAUUAAACCGAAUUUCUCUGGGAUAACUGAAAUAAAAAAAACGAGUGAAAAAACUAGUUGCAGUGACAUGACAUUCCAUUAUUACUAACAUACUAAUUUAAAACCAAACACGUACCUAUUGCUGAAAAAAAAAAAACAACUUACAAUCCGAAAAUUUCACGAGACAUUUAAAUUUGCACAUAAAAUAUCAUUCCAGAUUCGGUAUAAUUCUAUUUUUAUCUCACUUUUUUUUUAUAUUAUCAUUAUCACGUCUAUUAAACUAUUAAUAAAGGUUUACAAAUUAUGGGUUUUACGGCGCAGGUUUUUGGUAUCCUUAUUUAACUAAACUCAAGUCAGUGAAAAUUAGAACUUGUUCAAAAUAAGUUCCUCUCUCAUGCCGUUUUUAUCAUAACUUCCCAAUUUAUUUUUAUAACAGUAGCACACUGUACACCAAUCAACAUUAUUCAUGUUUUUGUUUACUAAGUUUUAUACCUUCGCUUCUUUUACUUUUCUUUCGCCUUUAUUGUCACUAUGUGGGAUCGGUUACCCCCAAAAAUUCGACUGAGGUACUCAAUCUCCCACAUCAUCUUCUUAUACAUCGGCUGUCUUCAUAUCAUUCUUAAUCGCAUCCACAAAAAUGUUUGGAUGUCUUGACUUAUUGAGUAUGGAACAUUGGAACAAUGUAUUUAGCUUUAAAUUAAGUGGAAAUUUAGUUUAAUUAGUAGUAUAGUUGACUAGUAAUUAAAUGUUGGUUGUCAAUAAGCAAUAAACUUAUAGACAUUAAAUAAUAUCUUAAUGGGAGACUUAAAUCAACUAUAUAUUGAAAUAUUAAUCUGAGAUAAUU